AGUGAACGCUGGCGGUAGGCCUAACACAUGCAAGUCGAACGGCAGCACAGUAAGAGCUUGCUCUUACGGGUGGCGAGUGGCGGACGGGUGAGGAAUACAUCGGAAUCUACUUUUUCGUGGGGGAUAACGUAGGGAAACUUACGCUAAUACCGCAUACGACCUACGGGUGAAAGCAGGGGAUCUUCGGACCUUGCGCGAUUGAAUGAGCCGAUGUCGGAUUAGCUAGUUGGCGGGGUAAAGGCCCACCAAGGCGACGAUCCGUAGCUGGUCUGAGAGGAUGAUCAGCCACACUGGAACUGAGACACGGUCCAGACUCCUACGGGAGGCAGCAGUGGGGAAUAUUGGACAAUGGGCGCAAGCCUGAUCCAGCCAUACCGCGUGGGUGAAGAAGGCCUUUGGGUUGUAAAGCCCUUUUGUUGGGAAAGAAAAGCAGCAGGUUAAUACCCCGCUGUUCUGACGGUACCCAAAGAAUAAGCACCGGCUAACUUCGU
rnacentral:rRNA from 1 species